GAUGAACGCUAGCGACAGGCUUAACACAUGCAAGUCGAGGGGCAGCAUAAAAGUAGCAAUACUUUGGUGGCGACCGGCGCACGGGUGAGUAACGCGUAUGCAACCUACCUAUCAGAGGGGAAUAACCCGGCGAAAGUCGGACUAAUACCGCAUAAAACAGGGGCACCGCAUGGUGAUAUUUGUUAAAGAAAUUCGCUGAUAGAUGGGCAUGCGUUCCAUUAGGUAGUUGGUGAGGUAACGGCUCACCAAGCCGACGAUGGAUAGGGGAACUGAGAGGUUGGUCCCCCACACUGGUACUGAGACACGGACCAGACUCCUACGGGAGGCAGCAGUGAGGAAUAUUGGUCAAUGGGCGAGAGCCUGAACCAGCCAAGUCGCGUGAAGGAAGAAGGAUCUAUGGUUCGUAAACUUCUUUUGCAGGGGAUAAAGUGCAGGACGUGUCCUGUUUUGUAUGUACCCUGAGAAUAAGGAUCGGCUAACUCCGUGCCAGCAGCCGCAGUAAUAC
rnacentral:rRNA from 1 species